AAUCAACACUCUUUUAUCAUUAUACCUCAUCCCUAUACUACAAAAUACUCCCUCAGGCCUAAGCCCAACCAUUCUUCUUACCAAAUUCCAAAUCUCAUACCUUUUUUUUUUCUUAAUCGUUUCUUCUCCUCGUCCUCCUCCCCCUGCUGAAAUCCAAGAAGAAAGAGAAAUGUGGUGGCUUGGAAAGAAAAGGUGAAAUGUUUUUAGUUAGGCCACCAAGAACCCAUCAAUCACAAGAUUAAAGAACAAGUUUUUGCUAAUGUUGAUACGCUCAGAUAUCACUAACUGGGGUAGUAGGAGUAUGGAUUUUGGGAAUUCUUGCAUCUUCUUUCUCAACAAUUAUUCCUUUUCUUCUACUUCUUCUUCUUGUUCUUCUUCUGGGCUUUGUGAUUGUUGUUCUGGGAAAUCACCCUCAUCAUCAACAUCAUCUCCUUCUUCUUCUUUCUUUUCUUCUUCCCUCUCCUUGUCUUUUGGAAGUGAAUUUCCAGAGCCUAGUUCCAUGGAUUUUACAAUCAAGCUCACUACUUCCAAAUUCACUACUGGUCCUUUGGCUUUUCUUUAAUCUCUCGCUCUCUCUCUCUCUCUCUCUAUCUCUCUCUCUUGACGCUUCUAUACUGUAUUUUUAUCAUCACACCUAUCUUACAUUGUUUUCUUGAAGCAAUUAUCUACUUCUUCUUAUUCUCUCUCUCUGUCUCUCUCUCACAAAGAAGGAAACUAAAAAAUGUUGAGUGCAUCACUGACCCCCUUGUUUUGCAAUCCAUUAAUGGCUUGUACUGCUACUUCUUCGACAACUUCUUCGACAACUAUGCCAGCAAUUCCAUAUGAUCUUCGACCCAUAAGGUAUGAUCAUGAUCAACAUUGGAUGUGGAUGAGAAGGAGGACCCUUUUCCCAUGGACAAAGAAUGGGACUGCACAUGUUGUUUCAGUUUCAGCUUCAGCUUCCUCUCUUUCUACCAAUGAGAUGACCAGGGACUCAUCCCGCCUCAAUGUGUAUAAGGAGGUUGUCAAGUCUGCAAGGGAAAAGUUCAACCGGGAAAUCAGCUUUCAAUCCAAAGACAAAGAUAUCUCGCUUGCAAAGGCCUUGCUGUUCAUUGCAGCAGAAGAUGAGGCAUUCAUUGCUUUUAAUAAAGAGAUGGAUGCAUGCUCUCUCGAAAACGAAAGGAAAACUGCUUCAGUCCCAGUGGAGGAACGAGAGUGGAAUUUUGUGGAGCAAAUGCCAUUGGCUGGAAAGAACAUAAAUGAGUGGCUCAGUGAGUUGGAUACCAUUGCAAGAGAAGUUGAAGCGGAGCUAGUUUCAAGAGACAUAGGCUGCCAUUUGGUUGAAGUUUUAGAUGCAAUAAACGUAGUUCUUUUUGAAUUAAGAGGCUUCAAAAGGUCACCUGUUGUUGUAGACUCCAAGUAUUCAUACUUGCACUCUGUGCUCAGCACAGGAACCGGCAGUGCAAUUUUGCUUAGCAUAAUUUACAUAGAAGUGUGCAGACGGCUCGGUCUAACAAUUGUGGGAUCUCGAGUUGGGGAGGAUUUUUUGAUAUGGCCCCAAACGGAGAACCUAGAGGAGCUCUUUAAGGUGACUUCAGGGCACAACUUAUUUGCCAUUGUCAAUGGAAAGUGUGUGGAGGAUCCUAGAUCAAAGGCGUCAGAUUUGACCAGCAACUCACUUUUAGGGCUCGAGAUAGCUACAAAGCGAGACAUUAUUGGAAUUUCCCUGGCCAAUUUGAUUAGGCUUCACUGGAAACGUGCUUCAAGAUCAAAUCAUGGAUUAAUGCUGACUUCUCCACUUAGGCACGUUCAUAGUGCUGACAAGAAUCAUAACAUGAUUCCCAAUUCAAAUGUGCCUUUGCUUCGGCCACGAGAUCUUAGGAAAACUUUGGAUGUUGCAGUCAGCUCAUGUUUGUUGGAGAAAUUAUUUUCUAAAGACCAUUUGGUCGUUGCAGGAAAUUUCAUACUUGGUUUCUACUUAUGAUUUGUGGCUUGAGAAUUUGAUUUUUGCAAUGGCACAUAUCUAGAUAUUCUCAAUGGGUAUGCAAAAGAUUAUAUUGUAGAUUUGUAUACAGGCUGGCCAUUAUGGCUUCAGAAAGAUUGCUGAUUUUGCAGCCACAUAAUUGGGCCUUGAGAAGAGAUCAUGGGAUGAUGUUGUACUACAAUAGGGAAUAUGGAGAGGCAGUACAAGAGCUUAGCAUCUGUAUGGCCUUUGCUCCAGAAGAAGAGGCAGAAGUUCUGGAACCAUUUGUUGAGAAAUUGCACUUGUUAAAGCUCGAAUCAUCCUGGAAGGCUAUGGGACAUGCUAGUCACCUUAAAGUUCCUUGAUCUUCUCUGUAAAUAGCUUUCUCUCUAUCUUUCAUAAUCAUGUAGUAUUUGAGCUUUAUGCAAGUACUUGAAUGCUCUCCAUCAGUAAUUUUCAAAUUGCAUGGUUUUUUUCUUCUU